CUGAUUCUGAUCCUGAGGAGUCAGAAGAAUCCGAAGAGGAAGUUUCUGAGGAAGGUGAUGAAUCCCCAGCUGAUGUUGAUGAUGAUGAGCCAUCGGAAGAGGAGGACGAGCACUAUAUUCUAGGCUGUAUGAUUAAAUGCCAAUCGGGUUACGAAUGCAGAUACUGUCCUUUCAUGACUUGUCCGAAUGAGAGAACAAUGCGAGCACAUGUCUCAUGAAGGAGGCACGCUCGUUUGGAGAGAAUAAUGAAAGGAGAAAGCCCUGGACGCGAUGAUGUUGAUUAUGAUGAAGAUGGCUAUGAUCUAGAGACCCCACCA